rnacentral:lncRNA from 1 species
CGGCCACAUAUUUAUAAAAAGUGACUUUAGCCUAGUGGUUCUAAGAGAAAUUACCAGUGCUAGAGGUGCUGGGUUCAAUUAUCUUUAACUGCAUUAAUUCAUUUUGGCCCUAAAUAUAAAAUGGGACACGUGUCACUCCCAGAACGCACGAAUUGAUGACGUAGCUUCACGGGAGAGAGGCGAACAUUUCUUUAUAUAGAUUACGUUCACAUGCAUAUGUUUUUUUUGUGGGUUAUCUUUUGGGCUAUGCAAUGACUAUAGUAAAAGCAAAAUGACUUGAUAAAAGAAUCAUGUCUACGUGCCUAUCUUCAUCUUUGGGCUACCGACGUACGGUUUCCGAGUAGAUUCACAUGAACUUUUUUUUCUUUUCUUUUUUUUUGUAAAAGGGCUUAUUCACAUGAACUUAUUCUAUCAACCAUAUACUUAAUUACACUAUUAUAUUUUUUUCCAAAAUUUCAGAAACUAUAUGAUUUAUUAGUAUGGAUCUAAAGUAUCUCUAUUGAGAAUUUCUUUUUAAGAAUUACUAUUUUUUAAGUAACUAAGAUAAUAAUAAUAAUCUAUCAAAUGAAUGUCAAAUGUUAAUAAAUUCAUUUGAAAAUAUUUCAUGAGAUAUUUUAAAAUACUUUAGAUUAUAUUUUGUAAUAUUUAAGAUAUUAUUCAAUAAAAUAGUUUUUAUUAUCUAGAAUAUUUAAAUUUCUGAUAGUAGGAAAAUAAAAAUAAUCUUUUUUACAAACAACUUUUUGAAUAAUGAAUUAUAUAUAUAUAUAUAUAUUUUUUUGGCUUCAUAUCAAAUAUGAUGUGUUUGUUAGAAAAUUCUAAAAAAAAUCUAAAUCAAUUAUGACAAACUGGAUAAAUGAUUACUUAUUAUAUAUAUUUUUAUUAAAAAGUUUUAGACUCUGAAUUGUACAUAUAUCAGAUUUCUUGCUAAAAAUAUAUACUAUUACCUCAUUUUUGUAUAUCAUCGAGACUGAUGAGAGGACUGGAUAAAAAUUAAAAAUCAUAAAAAUAAUAUAUUUGUUUG